UUACUAAUUUGUUCCACUAUAGCAGUUCUUGUUCCUUCAUUAUUAUCGGACCAUCCCAUUGUAAUUGAUUCCAUAAGACCUUCUUGCCCAACCCAUCUCUUAUCAAAUCUAAACUGCUCUUUCCUCCUAGAAACUUUAUCUUCCAAAUAAGCUACCACUGGGCGAUGAUCUGAUGCCACCAGCCCUAAAUAUUCUGUAUAAGAACAGGGGAAUAGCGUAUGCCACUCCUCAUUCGCU
rnacentral:lncRNA from 1 species